rnacentral:rRNA from 1 species
GGACUACCGGGGUUUCUAAUCCUGUUUGCUCCCCACGCUGUCGCGCCUCAGUGUCAGCUACUGCCCAGCAGACCGCCUUCGCCACCGGUGUUCUUCCGGAUCUCUACGCAUUCCACCGCUACACCCGGAAUUCCAUCUGCCUCUACAGUGCUCAAGCCCGGGAGUAUCGACGGCCGAUUCGGGGUUGAGCCCCGAACUUUCACCGUUGACUGCCCGCGCCACCUACGCGCCCUUUACGCCCAGUGAUUCCGGACAACGCUCGCACCCUCCGUAUUACCGCGGCUGCUGGCAC